AAAUUGGUCUUUGCCGAUAAGCCAAAAAUUAUUUUAUUUUUUCGAUCUAUCUUUACUCGUUAAGCCAUUUAGGUUCGUUGGGAUUUUUUUAAUAAUGAAAAACACGAUCUUUGUCGCAUAAACCUUUAGUAUUUUACGAUUAAAUUCAAAUUUCUCUUCGAAUGUAUAAGAGAACGAUGCAUACGAUGUGUUUUCGUGGAAAUUUUUUUGGCAUAAACAUACAGAAAUUUUUUUGGCAUAAACAUAUACCAGAUUUUACUGUUUAUAAAUUGGUCUUUGCCGAUAAGCCAAAAAUUAUUUUAUUUUUUCGAUCUAUCUUUACUCGUUAAGCAAUUUAGGUUCAUUGGGAUUUUUUUAAUAAUGAAAAACACGAUCUUUGUCGCAUAAACCUUUAGUAUUUUACGAUUAAAUUCAAAUUUCUCUUCGAAUGUAUAAGAGAACGAUGCAUACGAUGUGUUUUCGUGGGCAUUUUUUUGGCUCACAGUUGCGAUAAUAGGAACAGUAAUUUUUCAAAUAUCAAGAUUCUAACUAUACAUACAUAUGUACAUUUUUUUACUAUAAAAAAAUAAAAUUUGUUUUUCCAUGAAGCUUUAAUAAUUAAAUACAUAUCUAUACUUAUGUUUGACAGAUCGUUUGUGUAAAAGCCGUUAUAUGACGCAUUCUACGUAAUACGCAGUUACUGUAUUUGAUGGCGCCGUUUACGAUUUUCUCUUCACUGUGCAAGAUGGAAAUAAAAUGAGCAAUUAAGUGAAAUAUAUUUAUAAGACACAUGUUUGUAUGUGUAUACAUGUAUGCUUGUAAGGGAACAUUUUCCAGCAAUUACUGACAACAAGGUACGUUAUCAUUUUAAAAAGGAAUGACCAUUUUCAAGAGCUUUUCAGCAAACUUUGCACGGUUGGCCCAAGCUUUCUACAUGAUUAAACCCGACCAGAUCAGGAAUGUGUAUUUACAGUUCAGGUAAAGAUACACAGCCACGAACUUUUACUGUAAAAAAUGUCCUUAUGUAGGUGACGCAUAAUGUCCCCCGGGAGUACUAUAGGUACGGAUUAUUCCGUAUCUAGAAUAUAAUUGAAACAAUUAUUGCGUAAUGGUUCAAGCGCCAAAUUGCAAAAAUUUAAAAA